rnacentral:rRNA from 1 species
AUUGAACGCUGGCGGCAUGCCUUACACAUGCAAGUCGAACGGCAGCGUGGGCUUCGGCCUGGCGGCGAGUGGCGAACGGGUGAGUAAUACAUCGGAACGUGCCCAGUAGUGGGGGAUAGCUUGGCGAAAGCCGGACUAAUACCGCAUACGACCUGAGGGUGAAAGCGGGGGAUCUUCGGACCUCGCGCUAUUUGAGCGGCCGAUGGCAGAUUAGCUAGUUGGUGGGGUAAAGGCCUACCAAGGCGACGAUCCGUAGCUGGUCUGAGAGGACGACCAGCCACACUGGAACUGAGACACGGCCCAGACUCCUACGGGAGGCAGCAGUGGGGAAUUUUGGACAAUGGGCGAAAGCCUGAUCCAGCAAUGCCGCGUGUGUGAUGAAGGCCUUCGGGUUGUAAAGCACUUUUGGCGGGAACGAAAAGGACUGUGCCAAUACCACGGUUUGAUGACGGUACCCGCAGAAUAAGCACCGGCUAACUACGUG